GUUCUGUGGUGUAUGACAUAUUGGAUUGCAAACCCAAAGGCGUAGGUUAACCCCUGCCGGAGCUUU
rnacentral:tRNA from 1 species